AUUGGGUACUGGAGAUACAUUACUAUCUACAGGCAUCUGAAAGAAAACCCAGAGUACCAAUGUUAUCCUAUUUUCAAGUAUUUUGAGAACUGGUGCCAGGAUGAAAACCGUCACGGCGACUUCUUCUCUGCAUUGCUCAAGGCACAACCUCAAUUCCUUAAUGAUUGGAAGGCUAAGCUAUGGUCUAGAUUUUUCUGCCUCUCGGUAAUCCAUUUGUUUCCAUAUCACCUUUGAUCGCAUACAGCUUUUUUGUUAUUUAUACCAAUACUACAUAGCCUUCAAAUUUAACAAAUUUGUCCUGCAGGUGUAUGUUACUAUGUACCUCAACGACUGCCAGCGCACUGCUUUCUAUGAGGGCAUUGGACUCGACACCAAAGAAUUUGACAUGCAUGUCAUCAUUGAGGUUAGAUUCUGGUUCCACUGUUAUUCUAUAAGACCUUGGCAUAUAACUUUUAAUGAACUCUAGAGUUUUGGGCAUCAUUUACUUGUUAAUAAUGAAAUUUCUUGCAUACAGACAAACCGCACAACAGCCAGGAUUUUCCCUGCUGUGCUGGAUGUGGAGAAUCCAGAGUUCAAGAGGAGGUUGGACAAAAUGGUUGAGAUCAAUGAACAGUUGCUUGCUGUUGGGGAGACCUCUGAUAUUCCAUUGGUGAAGAACUUGAAGAGGAUUCCAUUAAUUGCAGCAUUGGCUUCAGAGCUCCUAGCUACGUAUCUGAUGCCGCCGAUCGAAUCUGGAUCUGUUGAUUUUGCUGAAUUUGAACCACAACUUGUGUACUAGAAUG
rnacentral:lncRNA from 1 species